UACGUAGGGUGCAAGCGUUAAUCGGAAUCACUGGGCGUAAAGGGCGCGUAGGCGGCUUUGUAAGUUAGAAGUGAAAUGCCAGGGCUUAACCUUGGAACUGCUUUUAAAACUGCAUGGCUAGAGUAUGGGAGAGGAUGGUGGAAUUCCUAGUGUAGAGGUGAAAUUCGUAGAUAUUAGGAGGAACACCGGUGGCGAAGGCGGCCAUCUGGACCAUUACUGACGCUGAGGCGCGAAAGCGUGGGGAUCAAACAGG
rnacentral:rRNA from 1 species